UACAGAGGUCCCAAGCGUUGUUCGGAUUCACUGGGCGUAAAGCGUGCGCAGGCGGCUUUGCAAGACAGAGGUGAAAUCCCCGGGCUCAACCUGGGAACUGCCUUUGUGACUGCAAGGCUUGAGUGCGGCAGAGGGGGAUGGAAUUCCGCGUGUAGCAGUGAAAUGCGUAGAUAUGCGGAGGAACACCGAUGGCGAAGGCAAUCCCCUGGGCCUGCACUGACGCUCAUGCACGAAAGCGUGGGGAGCAAACAGG
rnacentral:rRNA from 1 species